rnacentral:miRNA from 1 species
GACGAAAACCAGGAGGGAAUUAGAAAGGGGGAUGAGAGGUCGAGCCCCUUCAGCGGGGCUCGACCUCUCAUCCCCCUUUCUAAUUCCCAUUAAUCUGUG